rnacentral:rRNA from 1 species
GACGAACGCUGGCGGCGUGCCUAAUACAUGCAAGUCGAACGCUGAAGGAGGAGCUUGCUCUUCUGGAUGAGUUGCGAACGGGUGAGUAACGCGUAGGUAACCUGCCUGGUAGCGGGGGAUAACUAUUGGAAACGAUAGCUAAUACCGCAUAACAGUAGAUGUUGCAUGACAUUUACUUAAAAGGUGCAAUUGCAUCACUACCAGAUGGACCUGCGUUGUAUUAGCUAGUUGGUGGGGUAACGGCUCACCAAGGCGACGAUACAUAGCCGACCUGAGAGGGUGAUCGGCCACACUGGGACUGAGACACGGCCCAGACUCCUACGGGAGGCAGCAGUAGGGAAUCUUCGGCAAUGGACGGAAGUCUGACCGAGCAACGCCGCGUGAGUGAAGAAGGUUUUCGGAUCGUAAAGCUCUGUUGUAAGAGAAGAACGAGUGUGAGAGUGGAAAGUUCACACUGUGACGGUAUCAUACCAGAAAGGGACGGCUAACUACGU